UCCUCAUGGCCCUUAUGGGUAGGCUUCACACGUCAUACAAUGGUCGGUACAGAGGGUUGCCAAGCCGCGAGGCGGAGCCAAUCCCACAAAGCCGAUCGUAGUCCGGAUUGUUCUCUGCAACUCGAGAGCCAUGAAGUCGGAAUCGCUAGUAAUUGCAGGUCAGCAUACUGCGGUGAAUACGUUCCCGGGUCUU
rnacentral:rRNA from 1 species